GGAAGUAAAAGCCGUAACAAGGUUUCCGUAGGUGAACCUGCGGAAGGAUCAUUAUUGAAACUUCAUCCGGGGCGCCGCGGCCCUCAGCACCGGUGGAAACGCCGUGCUGCGGGGGCCGCGCGUGCACUCGUCCAAACCAAACCCCUGUGAACCUUACGGGAUGGCCCGGGUUAGCGCCCGGUGCCGUUCCGCUUUAUACAAACACUUAUCAAAGAAUGAACUGAAGGCGGUCUGACCGCUGGAUAACAAACUGAAACAACUUUCAACAACGGAUCUCUUGGCUCUC
rnacentral:misc_RNA from 1 species